rnacentral:rRNA from 1 species
AAUAGAUACCCGGGUAGUCCACGCCGUAAACGAUGGAUGCUAGCUAUUGGGGGGAAUCGACCCCCUCCGAAGCGAAGCUAACGCGUUAAGCAUCCCGCCUGAGUAGUACGAGCGCAAGCUUAAAACUCAAAGGAAUUGACGGGGACCCGCACAAGCGGUGGAGCGUGUGGUUUAAUUCGAUGGUAAACGAAGAACCUUACCAAGGUUUGACAUCCCGGUAGCCGUUCUCCGAAAGGAGAAUUUCAUUUAGUUGGACCGGUGACAGGUGAUGCAUGGCCGUCGUCAGCUCGUGUCGUGAGAUGUUGGGUUAAGUCCCGCAACGAGCGCAACCCUUAUGAUUUAGUUGGAUUUUUCUAAACAGACUGCCCUGGUAACAGGGAGGAAGGAGGGGAUGAUGUCAGGUCAGUAUUUCCCUUACACCUUGGGGCGACACACGCGCUACAAUGGCCGGUACAAUGGGCAGCUAAGCCGCGAGGUGGAGCAAAUCCCAUCAAAGCCGGUCCCAGUUCGGAUUGCAGGCUGAAACCCGCCUGCAUGAAGCCGGAAUCGCUAGUAACC